AAGUAGAAAUUUCAACUUGAAUACGAGGUUUACUUAGCUUGAAAUGUUAUGCAGAAGAGUUGGGCUUCAUUGGGUUAUAUCUACAUAAGCAAAUCAAGCUGCCUUUGAUUUCCAAUUCAUGUGUAUUAAUCUAGUUUUCUGGCAUUGCUUCUAUAUUUCGUAACAUAAACAAAACAGCUGGUCAAAAUUCUAUAGACUUUCCUCAACAUGGCUGGUCCUCUUUGCAGUUUUGAACGCACAAAUCCAUUUUACAUUGGCCCAUAUCCAGAAAACGCAUGCGGUUCGUGUCCAUACGGUAUUUAUUCGGGAUUUGUGCCAUGUGGCUGGAGUGAUCGCUGCAAGGGAACGGCCGAGAAAAGGGAAUGCAAAAUUGAGCUGAAGGAGAGCAAAGCAGGCAGUGAGGAAAAGUGUGAAUAAUCAAUUGAGACGGGAAAUGGAAAAAUUCAUUUUGCACAUUUUGUAAUUAUUUCGAACAACCUAAUUCAGUUUAAAGAGCGAAGCAGCUAAUGCAUCAGAAAACGUAAUGCAUUAAAAUGUUGAUAAUUAUACCAGCUGAAUGAACAGA
rnacentral:sRNA from 1 species